rnacentral:rRNA from 1 species
CGAGGUGGGACUUAGCCAUGCUAGUCGAACGAACAGAACUAUGUCUGUAAGUGGCAUACUGCUCAGUAACACGUAGCUAACCUACCCUUAGGACGUCGAUAACCCCGAGAAAUUGGGGCUAAUAGGCGAUAGAUGUAUUGUCCUGGAAUGGUAAUACGUCCAAAGGUAUCCCAUACAUGUUUGGUAUACGCCUAAGGAUGGGGCUGCGGCCGAUCAGGCUGUUGGUGAGGUAAUGGCUCACCAAACCUUUGACCGGUAUGGGCCAUGAGAGUGGUAGCCCAGAGAUGGACACUGAGACAAGGGUCCAGGCCCUACGGGGCGCAGCAGGCGCGAAACCUCCUCAAUGCACUAACGUGCGAAGGGGUUACCUCGAGUGCCACCUGAAGAAGGUGGCUUUUCCUUGGUCUAAAAAGCCUAGGGAAUAAGAGGGGGGCAAGACUGGUGUCAGCCGCCGCGGUAACACCAGCCCCUCGAGUGGUGGGGAUGAUUAUUUGGCCUAAAGCGUCCGUAGCCGGCCGGGUAAGUUUCCCGUUAAAUCCAGCGUCUCAAGCGUUGGACUGCGGGAAAUACUGCCUGGCUAGAGAGUGGGAGAGGUCAGCGGUAUUCUGGGGGUAGGGGCGAAAUCCUUUGAUCCCCGGAGGACCACCAGUGGCGAAGGCUGCUGACUAGAACACGUCUGACGGUCAGGGACGAAAGCUGGGGUAGCGAACCGGAUUAGAUACCCGGGUAGUCCCAGCCGUAAACGAUGCAUGCUAGGUGUUGGGUUGGCCACGAGCCACCCCAGUGCCGCAGGGAAGCCGUUAAGCAUGCCGCCUGGGAAGUACGAUCGCAAGAUUGAAACUUAAAGGAAUUGGCGGGGGAGCACCACCAGGCGUGAAGCCUGCGGUUUAAUUGGAGUCAACGCCGGG